rnacentral:rRNA from 1 species
GAUGAACGCUGGCGGCGUGCCUAACACAUGCCAGUCGAACGGAGAUUACGGACGGAAGUUUUCGGAUGGAAGCCUGUAAUUCUUAGUGGCGGACGGGUGAGUAACGCGUGGGCAACCUGCCCUAUACAGGGGGAUAGCAGCUGGAAACGGCUGGUAAGACCGCAUAAGUCGGUUAAGUCGCAUGAUUUGAUCGGGAAAUGAGCAAUCAGGUAUAGGAUGGGCCCGCGUCCGAUUAGCCAGUUGGCAGGGUAAAAGCCUACCAAAGCGACGAUCGGUAGCCGGACUGAGAGGUCGGACGGCCACAUUGGGACUGAGACACGGCCCAAACUCCUACGGGAGGCAGCAGUGGGGGAUAUUGCACAAUGGAGGAAACUCUGAUGCAGCGACGCCGCGUGAGUGAAGAAGUAUUUCGGUAUGUAAAGCUCUAUCAGCAGGGAAGAUGAUGACGGUACCUGACUAAGAAGCCCCGGCUAACUACGUG